rnacentral:rRNA from 1 species
GAUAACUCCGGGAAACCGGGGCUAAUACCGAAUAAUCUGUUUCACCUCAUGGUGAAAUAUUGAAAGACGGUUUCGGCUGUCGCUAUAGGAUGGGCCCGCGGCGCAUUAGCUAGUUGGUGAGGUAACGGCUCACCAAGGCGACGAUGCGUAGCCGACCUGAGAGGGUGAUCGGCCACACUGGGACUGAGACACGGCCCAGACUCCUACGGGAGGCAGCAGUAGGGAAUCUUCCACAAUGGGCGAAAGCCUGAUGGAGCAACGCCGCGUGAGUGAAGAAGGAUUUCGGUUCGUAAAACUCUGUUGUAAGGGAAGAACAAGUACAGUAGUAACUGGCUGUACCUUGACGGUACCUUAUUAGAAAGCCACGGCUAACUACGUGCCAGCAGCCGCGGUAAUACGUAGGUGGCAAGCGUUGUCCGGAAUUAUUGGGCGUAAAGCGCGCGCAGGUGGUUUCUUAAGUCUGAUGUGAAAGCCCACGGCUCAACCGUGGAGGGUCAUUGGAAACUGGGAGACUUGAGUGCAGAAGAGGAUAGUGGAAUUCCAAGUGUAGCGGUGAAAUGCGUAGAGAUUUGGAGGAACACCAGUGGCGAAGGGCGACUAUCUGGUCUG